UGUAGUUGGUUUCAAUCCUGCAAUACUGGAAUACUAGAGAAGAUUAGCAUAGCCCCUGUGCAAAGAUGACUCAGAAAUUUGUAAAAUUGCCAUGGCAAUAUUAU
ensembl:snRNA U6 U6 spliceosomal RNA